AGAUUUUCGUUCUUGCACUCCUUCAUUGGCAGCGUGGUAGAUGGGAGCUGGAAAGCUCCAACUCGGCAGCUCUCCAGCAUGGCGUUUUCACAUGUGAUGCAUUUAUAUCUAAUUAUGGAGUUAACUGCAGAUGAGCCGCCAUGAACAGGCAGCUUUGGCUGAUGUGUAAUUCGGCUCACUUCAUCGUAUCAUCAGGGAGAGCUACCUAUCCCCCAAAAAGCUCCUCCGUCUGGAGCCAGGCCCAGAGGGAAGGUUCGUCGGCGAGCCCCUGUUAGCCGGGUUUGACACGGAGCCCGCCGGGCACAGCACAACAAGCGACGUGCCUCCACCCUAUGGGCCCACCACUCGUGGGAUGACCCACUGGGGUCUGGUGAACUGCCACUGGUGGCCGUGAAGGCCCAGGGGCCCUCGAAGGACCGGACCAGGGGCGACAGAGGCUGGGCCUGGGGACGUGCAACGUCUUUCAUCGAAAUGAAAGGAACAUGGUUCUUCUGUCCCACUUGGCAUUGAUGGAAAAUGAGGAGGCCUGGUGAAAAGGUUUUAACAAUCUGCGGAGCAAGACCAUGAAGACCCAUGGGUGCUGAGAAGUUUUACAGAUGAAAUCGAUGAGUAAGCAGACACAACAGUCCCGGAUUGAUUCAGAAGUCUGUCACAGUAUAUGUAAUGCAGUAAUUUGUUUGAAUUAAAAAUAAACACAUUUGCUCUGAAA